UUAAACUGAAGAGUUUGAUCAUGGCUCAGAUUGAACGCUGGCGGCAGGCUUAACACAUGCAAGUCGAGCGGUAACAGGGGAAGCUUGCUUCCCGCUGACGAGCGGCGGACGGGUGAGUAA
rnacentral:rRNA from 1 species